UACGUAGGGCGCAAGCGUUAUCCGGAAUUAUUGGGCGUAAAGAGCUCGUAGGCGGUUUGUCGCGUCUGCCGUGAAAGUCCGGGGCUCAACCCCGGAUCUGCGGUGGGUACGGGCAGACUAGAGUGAUGUAGGGGAGACUGGAAUUCCUGGUGUAGCGGUGAAAUGCGCAGAUAUCAGGAGGAACACCGGUGGCGAAGGCAGGUCUCUGGGCAGUAACUGACGCUGAGGAGCGAAAGCGUGGGGAGCGAACAGG
rnacentral:rRNA from 1 species